GAUCAUUUUUAACUAGAUGCAAUCUCUCUCUCUUUCUCUUUCCCUUUCUCUUACAGACAUGUGAAAAAUAGCCUAAUAAGGAUCUUCGUGGUAAAAUCAGAUGGAAAACGGGGAGGCAGAGUCGCGUCUCCAGCAGCUCAUUCGACGCGGCGGCUCCUCCGAGUUGUACAAUAAUCAUCAGUGCUGGCCCGGUGCCGCUGGAUUAUUUUGUAUAUUCAUGAAGGCCCUCAUCAGCCGUCAGGAGACUGUGCAGUAAUCCUUGGAUGAAAUAAGGCCAAUCAGAGCGAUAAUGAGGAAGGUCAAUUGCCCAGAGGCUUCUCCUCCUGUUUUCCAUCUAUUUAUAUACGUGGACCAUAAUAAGCCUCUUGGAACCAGAAGUUACUGGGCCUACAUAAACACCUGCUCUGGUUUUUUGUUUGUCUUUUACCCGAAAUCAGCAAAGUUUUUUUUUUUUUAAAUGAAUCUGCAAAACCAUGUCAAAGCUAUCAACUCAUGCAUGGAGUCGGAAAACAAAGGAGGAUUCUAAUAAUGUUUAUUUUCCUCUUUAUCAGAGACCCCCCCCCCAUACAAAAUCCCAAACCAAAAGAGGAGCCUAUAAAGGAAUGUCUAAACUGCUCACAGAGCUUUCUUUUCACAAAACGAGCGAGAAACCAUCAACAGGGCAGGGAAGGCAAACACGUCUGCCCCACACUGCUUGUGCUUUCUUGGGUCACAGAGACACAUCCGAGCAGGUCAUGGGCUGCUUCCACCGACAGAUGUCCUGAUGUGAAGGAGAGUACCACUGAAGAAAAUGCCUGAACUGCUAUUAUCUGCAUCCUUCAAGCGCUUGACAGGAUUACGACGUGCCGUUAACAUUAGCCUCAGCACAGUGUCUGGAUGAUCAGCCAUGCCUCUUGUAAAUGUCCCACAUAAACCCUGCAGGCCAUGGGCGGUCACCAUGUGAGAGACAGCAUGGCUCCAUCAGUUGGUUACUGCGGGAUUUCUGCAAAGUAUGGUUCAGAGGAUGUCAGAAAUCUCUCAGAGACAUGCAUGACCACACUCACUCAAAAGAAAAA
rnacentral:lncRNA from 1 species